CCUACGGGGUGCUGCAGUGAGGAAUAUUGGUCAAUGGACGCAAGUCUGAACCAGCCAUGCCGCGUGCAGGAAGACGGCCCUAUGAGUUGUAAACUGCUUUUGUACGAGGAUAAACGCAGAUACGCGUAUCUGUCUGAAAGUAUCGUACGAAUAAGGAUCGGCUAACUCCGUGCCAGCAGCCGCGGUAAUACGGAGGAUUCAAGCGUUAUCCGGAUUUAUUGGGUUUAAAGGGUGCGUAGGCGGUAGGAUAAGUUAGAGGUGAAAUCCCGAGGCUCAACCUCGGAAUUGCCUCUGAUACUGGUCGGCUAGAGAGUAGUUGAGGUAGGCGGAAUGUGUGGUGUAGCGGUGAAAUGCUUAGAGAUCAUACAGAACACCGAUUGCGAAGGCAGCAUACCGAGGUACUACUGACGCUGAGGCACGAAAGAGUGGGGAGCAAACAGGAUUAGAUACCCUAGUAGUC
rnacentral:rRNA from 1 species